UACGUAGGGGGCAAGCGUUAUCCGGAUUUACUGGGUGCAAAGGGAGCGUAGACGGCGAUGCAAGUCUGAAGUGAAAGGCGGGGGCCCAACCCCCGGACUGCUUUGGAAACUGUAUAGCUGGAGUGCAGGAGAGGUAAGUGGAAUUCCUAGUGUAGCGGUGAAAUGCGUAGAUAUUAGGAGGAACACCAGUGGCGAAGGCGGCUUACUGGACUGUAACUGACGUUGAGGCUCGAAAGCGUGGGGAGCAAACAGG
rnacentral:rRNA from 1 species